rnacentral:rRNA from 1 species
AGGUUGGGUAACACUAACUGGAGGACCGAACCGACUAAUGUUGAAAAAUUAGCGGAUGACUUGUGGCUGGGGGUGAAAGGCCAAUCAAACCGGGAGAUAGCUGGUUCUCCCCGAAAGCUAUUUAGGUAGCGCCUCGUGAAUUCAUCUCCGGGGGUAGAGCACUGUUUCGGCAAGGGGGUCAUCCCGACUUACCAACCCGAUGCAAACUGCGAAUACCGGAGAAUGUUAUCACGGGAGACACACGGCGGGUGCUAACGUCCGUCGUGAAGAGGGAAACAACCCAGACCGCCAGCUAAGGUCCCAAAGUCAUGGUUAAGUGGGAAACGAUGUGGGAAGGCCCAGACAGCCAGGAUGUUGGCUUAGAAGCAGCCAUCAUUUAAAGAAAGCGUAAUAGCUCACUGGUCGAGUCGGCCUGCGCGGAAGAUGUAACGGGGCUAAACCAUGCACCGAAGCUGCGGCAGCGACGCUUAUGCGUUGUUGGGUAGGGGAGCGUUCUGUAAGCCUGCGAAGGUGUGCUGUGAGGCAUGCUGGAGGUAUCAGAAGUGCGAAUGCUGACAUAAGUAACGAUAAAGCGGGUGAAAAGCCCGCUCGCCGGAAGACCAAGGGUUCCUGUCCAACGUUAAUCGGGGCAGGGUGAGUCGACCCCUAAGGCGAGGCCGAAAGGCGUAGUCGAUGGGAAACAGGUUAAUAUUCCUGUACUUGGUGUUACUGCGAAGGGGGGACGGAGAAGGCUAUGUUGGCCGGGCGACGGUUGUCCCGGUUUAAGCGUGUAGGCUGGU